GUGAAAACCAGAAUGUUUUAGACAGACUUUACGCUGAGCAAUUUCACAUUGCGGACAAAACUUCAAAGAGGCCAUUUGUUACUCUGGAAGAUCUUAAUGAGAUGCCUUAUGCUUCAAAGGUAGUCAAAGAAUCCUUAAGGUUGGCAUCUAUAGUACCCUGGUUUCCAAGAUUAUCACUUGAUGAAUGUGAGAUUGAAGGAUUUAAGAUAAUGAAAGGUUG
rnacentral:misc_RNA from 1 species